AGCGAACGCUGGCGGCAGGCCUAACACAUGCAAGUCGAACGGAACCUUCGGGAUUAGUUGCGGAUGGGUGAGUAACACGUGGGAACGUGCCCUUUUGUUCGGAACAACUCAGUUAAACUGGAGCUAAUACCGGAUGUGUUCUUCGGGUGAAAGAUUUAUCGCACUUGUAGCGGCCCGCGUCCUAUUAGCCGGUUGGGGAGGUAACGGCCGAUCAAGGCGACGAUCAGUAGCUGGUCAGAGAGGCUGGGCAGCCACACUGGGACUGAGACACGGCCGAGAAUAUUACGGGAGGCAGCAGAGCGUGAUCUUGCGCAAUCGGGGAAGGCAUGACGGAGCCAGGCUGGGUGAAUGAUGAAGGUCUUAGGAAAGUAAAAUUCUUUCAGCCGGGACGAUAAUGACGGUACCCGAAGAAGAAGCUCCGGCUAACUUCGUG
rnacentral:rRNA from 1 species